rnacentral:rRNA from 1 species
AGCGGCGCACGGGUGAGUAACACGUGGGUAAUCUACCCUAAGGUCUGGGAUAACCCGGGGAAACUCGGGCUAAUACCGGUUAAGACCACGUCUCUUUGGGGAUGUGGGAAAAGCAGGGGCCCUCUUCGGAGGCCUUGUGCCAUAGGAUGAGCCCGCGGUCCAUCAGGUAGUUGGUAGGGUAAAAGCCUACCAAGCCGAAGACGGAUAGCUGGUCUGAGAGGAUGAUCAGCCACACUGGAACUGAGACACGGUCCAGACUCCUACGGGAGGCAGCAGUGGGGAAUAUUGCGCAAUGGGCGAAAGCCUGACGCAGCCACGCCGUGUGUGUGAUGAAGGCCUUCGGGUCGUAAAGCACUGUCGGGACCCAAGAUGGCGAAGGUACCUAACAAGGCCUGAGCUGACGGUAAGUCCAAAGGAAGCACCGGCUAACUCUGUGCCAGCAGCCGCGGUAAGACAGAGGGUGCAAGCGUUGUUCGGAAUUAUUGGGCGUAAAGCGCGCGUAGGCGGUCUGUUAAGUCGGGUGUGAAAUCCCGGGGCUCAACCCCGGAAGUGCAUUCGAAACUGGCAGACUUGAGUCCCGGAGAGGGUGGCGGAAUCCCUGGUGUAGAGGUGAAAUUCGUAGAUAUCAGGGGGAACAUCCGUGGCGAAGGCGGCCAUCUGGACGGUGACUGACGCUGAGGUGCGAAAGCGUGGGGGAGCAAACAGGAUUAGAUACCCUGAUAGUCCACGCCGU